UACAGAGGGUGCGAGCGUUAAUCGGAAUUACUGGGCGUAAAGCGUGCGUAGACGGUUCUGUAAGUCGGAUGUGAAAUCCCCGGGCUCAACCUGGGAAUUGCAUUCGAGACUGCAAAGCUUGGGUGCGGAAGAGGGAAGCGAAUUUCCGGUGUAGCGGUGAAAUGCGUAGAUAUCGGAAGAACAUCAGUGGCGAAAGCGGCUUCCUGGUCCAGCACCGACGUUCAG
rnacentral:rRNA from 1 species